rnacentral:antisense_RNA from 12 species
CUCAAUGGUGGGCUGUGUGGGGGCGGAGCGAUCCGCGCCGGUUCCUUUUUCCCGGUUACGCCAACCCUGCACAGUUCACCACCAUA